GACGAACGCUGGCGGCGUGCUUAACACAUGCAAGUCGAACGGAAAGGCCUCUUUCGGGGGGUACUCGAGUGGCGAACGGGUGAGUAACACGUGAGUAACCUGCCCUUGACCUUGGGAUAACUUCAGGAAACUGGGGCUAAUACCGGAUAGGAGCUCCUGCUGCAUGGUGGGGGUUGGAAAGUUUCGGCGGUUGGGGAUGGACUCGCGGCUUAUCAGCUUGUUGGUGGGGUAGUGGCUUACUAAGGCUUUGACGGGUAGCCGGCCGGAGAGGGUGACCGGCCACAUUGGGACUGAGAUACGGCCCAGACUCCGACGGGAGGCAGCAGUGGGGAAUAUUGCACAAAGGGUGGAAGCCUGAGGCAGCAACGCCGUGUGCGGGAUGACGGCCUUCGGGUUGUAAACCGCUUUCGCUCAUGACGAAGCGUUGUGUGACGGUAGUGGGUAAAGAAGCACCGGCUAACUACGUG
rnacentral:rRNA from 1 species